rnacentral:rRNA from 1 species
CCUAACACAUGCAAGUCGAACGGUAACAGGAAACAGCUUGCUGUUUCGCUGACGAGUGGCGGACGGGUGAGUAAUGUCUGGGAAACUGCCUGAUGGAGGGGGAUAACUACUGGAAACGGUAGCUAAUACCGCAUAACGUCGCAAGACCAAAGAGGGGGACCUUCGGGCCUCUUGCCAUCAGAUGUGCCCAGAUGGGAUUAGCUAGUAGGUGGGGUAACGGCUCACCUAGGCGACGAUCCCUAGCUGGUCUGAGAGGAUGACCAGCCACACUGGAACUGAGACACGGUCCAGACUCCUACGGGAGGCAGCAGUGGGGAAUAUUGCACAAUGGGCGCAAGCCUGAUGCAGCCAUGCCGCGUGUAUGAAGAAGGCCUUCGGGUUGUAAAGUACUUUCAGCGGGGAGGAAGGGAGUAAAGUUAAUACCUUUGCUCAUUGACGUUACCCGCAGAAGAAGCACCGGCUAACUCCGUGCCAGCAGCCGCGGUAAUGCGGAGGGUGCAAGCGUUAAUCGGAAUUACUGGGCGUAAAGCGCACGCAGGCGGUUUGUUAAGUCAGAUGUGAAAUCCCCGGGCUCAACCUGGGAACUGCAUCUGAUACUGGCAAGCUUGAGUCUCGUAGAGGGGGGUAGAAUUCCAGGUGUAG